UACAGAGGUCUCAAGCGUUGUUCGGAUUCAUUGGGCGUAAAGGGUGCGUAGGUGGCGCUGUAAGUCAGGUGUGAAAUUUCGGAGCUUAACUCCGAAACUGCAUUUGAUACUGCGGUGCUUGAGGACUGGAGAGGAGACUGGAAUUUACGGUGUAGCAGUGAAAUGCGUAGAGAUCGUAAGGAAGACCAGUGGCGAAAGGCGGGUC
rnacentral:rRNA from 1 species